GGGAAUAUUGGACAAUGGGCGCAAGCCUGAUCCAGCCAUGCCGCGUGNGUGAAGAAGGCCUUCGGGUUGUAAAGCCCUUUNGCGGGGAGGAANGCCNGCNGGUUAAUACCCUGAUGGNAUGACGUUACCCACAGAAUAAGCACCGGCUAACUUCGUGCCAGCAGCCGCGGUAAUACGGAGGGUGCAAGCGUUACUCGGAAUUACUGGGCGUAAAGCGCGCGUAGGUGGNCNNUUAAGUCNGAUGUGAAAUCCCCGGGCUCAACCUGGGAACUGCAUUCGAAACUGNNNGGCUAGAAUNNGGNAGAGGGUAGCGGAAUUCCNGGUGUAGCAGUGAAAUGCGUAGAUAUCNGGAGGAACACCCGUGGCGAAGGCGGCCACCUGGACC
rnacentral:rRNA from 1 species